AGCAACCCAAAGCUCUGCAGCUUUAAGAAGUUUGCACACUUGAGCAGCUGGCAGCGCGCCACUUGGCCAACAUAAACAGCCCUAAUCCUUUUUCCAAGGAGCUUUCAACACUCAUCUCUCUGGCACAUCGGCCACUGACUCACUCUUUCUCUCUCUAACAUUCCUGUUUGUACGCAGGUCAGCAGAGUCGUCACCAGGGGGCGAUGUGGCCCUUGAAAUGUAGAAGCUUUUGGCUUCUUGCUGUUGAUCAUUAUUCACUGCUAAGCUGUGGGAGAGUACCCACUCAGAGGAGAGGAGCACAAACACAUUGAUCUUAUUUGGACAGGCUUUUGUCUGGGACACAUCCAAAACCCAAACAGCCAGGGGAAGCACCACAACAGGGUCUUUAGUCCGCUUCAGGAUCAACUCAGCAUGAGCACCAGAUAGCAAUUGGCGGUGUGACGGUACCAUGGUUAGGUAUUGAUUUUCAGCUUUGUGUUGCUGGCUGUGGUUGUUUCCAGCCCUGCUCGGCUGAAGCUAAAUCAUUGUGUUUUUCUGUGCUUCUGCCUCUGCUAGGGAACAACUACACAGUGUCAGUGGGAGGCUGCCUUAAUCCGUCGAGGGGCUAGAAAGUGAAAUGAGACUGGGACACCUAGUAAAAAACAAACAGCUGAGCUACAGGGACUACCAACUAGACGUAUCCCCUCGUCAUGUAACAUAACGUAUGCAUUAAAGCCCUUUACUUCUA